CAGGUUGAAGUUGGGGUAAAACCCGAUGGAGGACCGAACCGACCCCCGUUGAAACGUUGGCGGAUGAGUUGUGGCUAGGGGUGAAAUUCCAAUCGAACUCGGAGAUAGCUGGUUCUCCCCGAAAUAGCUUUAGGGCUAGCGUCGAGAGAGAGUCAUGUGAAGGUAGAGCACUGAAUAUGUGAUGGCCCCAUCCCGGGGUACUGAAUAUAAUCAAACUCCGAAUGUCACAGAGACAUGCUCGGCAGUCAGACAGCGGGUGAUAAGGUCCACUGUCAAGAGGGAAACAGCCCAGACCAUCAGCUAAGGUCCCAAAAUAUAUACUAAGUGGAAAAGGAUGUGGAGAUGUCCAGACAACUAGGAGGUUGGCUCAGAAGCAGCCAUCCUUUAAAGAGUGCGUAACAGCUCACUAGUCGAAUGACUCUGCGCCGAUAAUUUACCGGGGCUAAGUAUAUUACCGAAGCUAUGGAUUUGCGAUGAGCAAGUGGUAGGGGAGCGUUCUAUGAGCGAAGAAGCAGUACCGGAAGGAGCUGUGGAGCAUAUAGAAGAGAGAAUGCCGGUGUGAGUAGCGGAACGUGGGUGAGAAUCCCACGCACCGAAAACCCAAGGUUUCCAGAGGAAGGUUCGUCCGCUCUGGGUAAGUCGGGACCUAAGGCGAGGCCGAGAGGCGUAGUCGAUGGACAACAGGUAGAGAUUCCUGUACUUACGGUAUGAAUGAAGGAGUGACGGAGAAGGCUAGGUGAUCCUGCGGCUGGAAGAGCAGGUGCAAGCGAGGUAGCAGAUAUCCAGGCAAAUCCGGAUGUCGAGAAAGCGAAGGCGUGAAGCGGAUGGAAAGCCAAGGCAAGUACAGAAGUCAUUGAAGCCAGCUUCCAAGAAAAGCUUCUAGUGAAAAUCAUACAGUAACCCGUACCGAAAAUGGACACACAUGGGUGAGGAGAGAAUCCUAAGGUGAGCGAGAGAACUAUAGCUAAGGAACUCUGCAAAAUGACUCCGUAACUUAGGGAGAAGGAGUGCUCAUAGAGAUAUGAGCCGCAGUGAAACGGCCCAAGCGACUGUUUACCAAAAACACAGCUCUAUGCUAAGUCGAAAGACGACGUAUAUGGGGUGACGCCUGCCCGGUGCUGGAAGGUUAAGAGGAUGUGUCAGCGCAAGCGAAGCACUGAAUUGAAGCCCCAGUAAACGGCGGCCGUAACUAUAACGGUCCUAAGGUAGCGAAAUUCCUUGUCAGGUAAGUUCUGACCCGCACGAAAGGCGUAACGAUUUGGGCGCUGUCUCAGCUGUAGACUCGGUGAAGUCUUAGUACCUGUGAAGAUGCAGGUUACCCGCGACUAGACGGAAAGACCCCAUGGAGCUUUACUGUAGCUUGAUAUUGGACUUUGAUGCAAGAUGUACAGGAUAGGUAGGAGACUGAGAGACAUGCACGCCAGUGUGUGAGGAGUCAAUGUUGGGAUACUACUCUUCUUGUAUUGGAGUUCUAACCGGAUGCCAUGGAACUGGCAACGGGACAGUGUCAGGUGGGCAGUUUGACUGGGGCGGUCGCCUCCCAAAGAGUAACGGAGGCGCCCAAAGAUACCCUCAGCUUGGAUGGAAAUCAAGCGCAGAGUGCAAAGGCAUAAGGGUGUUUGACUGCGAGACCUACAAGUCGAGCAGGGACGAAAGUCGGGCUUAGUGAUCCGGCGGUGCUGAAUGGAAAGGCCGUCGCUCAACGGAUAAAAGCUACCCUGGGGAUAACAGGCUGAUCUCCCCCAAGAGUUCACAUCGACGGGGAGGUUUGGCACCUCGAUGUCGGCUCAUCGCAUCCUGGAGCUGAAGUCGGUUCCAAGGGUUGGGCUGUUCGCCCAUUAAAGCGGUACGCGAGCUGGGUUCAGAACGUCGUGAGACAGUUCGGUCCCUAUCUGUCGUGGGCGUAGGAAGUUUGAGAAGAUCUGUCCUCAGUACGAGAGGACCGGGAUGGACAUAUCAAUGGUGCACCAGUUGUCACGCCAGUGGCACAGCUGGGUAGCUAAAUAUGGAAGGGAUAAACGCUGAAGGCAUCUAAGUGUGAAACCCACUUCAAGAUGAGACUUCCCAUUACGCAAGUAAGUAAGACCCCUUAAAGACGAUAAGGUUGA
rnacentral:rRNA from 1 species